rnacentral:tRNA from 1 species
GUUGUGGCUCAGUGGUAGAGCACUUGCCUAGCACAUGUGAGGCACUGGGUUCAAUCCCCAGUACAACG